rnacentral:lncRNA from 1 species
AGUGGAGUGGGCACAUUGAUCUUGAUUCAAUCUUAGGAAUGCAGAGAUAUUAUGCAAAUGUGCAGGGAUAGUUUGUUCAAAACAGAGAUGAGCAUGAAAAGGCACAAGGUUUCCGGAUGUGCCUGGACAAGAUAUGAUGAAUUAUGAUCACCUGACUUAAUGUGAAAAACAUCGGAUCAACAUUUAAAUUAGGGGGAAUAGGGGGAAUCUCUCCUUCCCCCGCCAAUGAGGUGUGUCGAGGCCAUCAAAUUUAUCAGUAAAGGAUGUAUCAUUGAGCCCAAUUAAGUAUGGAGAUAACACGUUCUAAUUUUUUUUCUCAGAGGGGGAUAAUUGAGGCAAGUCCUGAUGAAUGAAGACAUGAAGCAAAAUGAAAUUGAUUCAACACAAGAAGGGUGUAUCGUUCCUAAAUUAGUCCAAUUCAAGUUUGAAAUGCAAGUAACAUGUCCCAUCUCUUGUAGGACAAGGCGCACAUCAACUGCGGGAGCGACGCCUUCUACGAAGUUGGCAUGCUAAGGCCAUCCAUUUUGUUGUAAAGGAUGUAUAUCGUUCCUAAAAUGAUUUCUUGUCAAGUGUGGAAAUAACAUGCCCAGUCUUCUAAAUGUCUUUUUGAGAAGAGCAUUUGAAAAGAGCAAGAAUUGAAUUUUGUGGAUUAUCGUUGCAGUAAAGAAAC